rnacentral:misc_RNA from 1 species
GAUGAAGAACGUAGCGAAAUGCGAAAAGUAAUGUGAAUUGCAGAAUUCUGUGAAUCAUCGAAUCUUUGAACGCACAUUGCGCCCGCCAGUAUUCUGGCGGGCAUGCCUGUCUGAGCGUCAUUUCAACCCUCACGCCCCUAGGGCGUGGUGUUGGGGAUCGGCCAGCGCCCUCGCGGGCGAGGCCGUCCCCUAAAUCUAGUGGCGGACCCGUCGUGGCCUCCCCUGCGAAGUAGUGAUAUUCCGCAUAGGAGAGCGACGAGCCCCUGCCGUUAAACCCCCAACUUUCUCAGGUUGACCUCAGAUCAGGUAGGAAUACCCGCUGAACUUAAGCAUAUCAAUAAGCGGAGGA